UACGUAGGGGGCUAGCGUUGUCCGGAUUUAUUGGGCGUAAAGAGCGUGUAGGCGGCUUUACAGGUCCGUUGUGAAAACUCGAGGCUCAACCUCGAGACGCCGGUGGAAACCGUAAAGCUAGAGUCCGGAAGAGGCGAGUGGAAUUCCUGGUGUAGCGGUGAAAUGCGCAGAUAUCAGGAGGAACACCGAUGGCGAAGGCAGCUCGCUGGGACGGUACUGACGCUGAGGCGCGAAAGCGUGGGGAGCAAACAGG
rnacentral:rRNA from 1 species